rnacentral:rRNA from 1 species
UACGUAGGGGGCAAGCGUUAUCCGGAAUUAUUGGGCGUAAAGGGUGCGUAGGCGGCUCUUUAAGCGCGGGGUGAAAGGCAAUGGCUCAACCAUUGUCAGCCUUGCGAACUGAGGAGCUUGAGUGCAGGAGAGGAAAGUGGAAUUCCUAGUGUAGCGGUGAAAUGCGUAGAUAUUAGGAGGAACACCAGUGGCGAAGGCGACUUUCUGGACUGUAACUGACGCUGAGGCACGAAAGUGUGGGGAGCAAACAGGAUUAGAUACCCUGGUAGUCCACACCGUAAACGAUGAGCACUAGGUGUCGGGGUCGCAAGGCUUCGGUGCCGCAGUUAACGCAUUAAGUGCUCCGCCUGGGGAGUACGCACGCAAGUGUAAAACUCAAAGGAAUUGACGGGGACCCGCACAAGCAGCGGAGCAUGUGGUUUAAUUCGAAGCAACGCGAAGAACCUUACCGGGACUUGACAUCCCUCUGACAGGACCUUAAUCGGUCCCUUCUUCGGACAGAGGAGACAGGUGGUGCAUGGUU